rnacentral:rRNA from 1 species
AUUGAACGCUGGCGGCAGGCCUACCACAUGCAAGUCGAACGAGUGGCGGACGGGUGAGUAAUGUCUUGUAACCUGCCUUAUUGAGGGGUAUAACUACUGGAAACGGUAGCUAAUACCGCCUACCAUCCGAUGUGCCCAGAUGGGAUUGGCUUGUUGGUGGGGUAACGGCUCACCAGGGGGACGAUCCCUAGCUGGUCUGCGAGGAUAACCAGCAACACUGGAACGGAGACACGGUCCAGACUCCUACGGGAGGCAGCAGUGGGGAAUAUGGGACAAUGGGCGCAAGCCUGAUGAAGCCAUGCCGCGUGUAUGAAGAAGGCCGUCGGGUUGUAAAGUACUGUCAGCGGGGAGGCGGUACCCGCAGAAGAAGCACCGGCGAAAUCCGUGCCAGCCGCCGCGGUAAUAC